CGAACGCUGGCGGCGUGCUUAACACAUGCAAGUCGAACGGUGACCCUGGAGCUUGCUCCGGGCGAUCAGUGGCGAACGGGUGAGUAACACUUGAGUAACCUGCCCCAGACUCUGGGAUAACCUCGGGAAACCGGGGCUAAUACCGGAUACGAGACGCUCCUGCAUGGGAAGCGUCUGGAAAGAUUUAUCGGUCUGGGAUGGACUCGCGGCCUAUCAGCUUGUUGGUGAGGUAACGGCUCACCAAGGCGACGACGGGUAGCCGGCCUGAGAGGGCGACCGGCCACACUGGAACUGAGACACGGUCCAGACUCCUACGGGAGGCAGCAGUGGGGAAUAUUGCACAAUGGGCGCAAGCCUGAUGCAGCGACGCCGCGUGGGGGAUGAAGGCCUUCGGGUUGUAAACCCCUUUCAGUAGGGAAGAAGCGAAAGUGACGGUACCUACAGAAGAAGCGCCGGCUAACUACGUGCCAGCAGCCGCGGUAAUACGUAGGGCGCAAGCGUUGUCCGGAAUUAUUGGGCGUAAAGAGCUCGUAGGCGGUCUGUCGCGUCUGCUGUGAAAACCCGAGGCUCAACCUCGGGCCUGCAGUGGGUACGGGCAGACUAGAGUGUGGUAGGGGAGACUGGAAUUCCUGGUGUAGCGGUGGAAUGCGCAGAUAUCAGGAGGAACACCAAUGGCGAAGGCAGGUCUCUGGGCCACAACUGACGCUGAGGAGCGAAAGCGUGGGGAGCGAACAGGAUUAGAUACCCUGUUAGUCCACGCCGUAAACGGUGGGCACUAGAUGUGGGGCUCUUUCCAUGAGUUCCGCGUCGCAGCUAACGCAUUAAGUGCCCCGCCUGGGGGAGUACGGCCGCAAGGCUAAAA
rnacentral:rRNA from 1 species